GAUCAUGGCUCAGGACGAACGCUGGCGGCGUGCCUAAUACAUGCAAGUAGAACGCUGAAGAGGGGAGCUUGCUCUUCUUGGAUGAGUUGCGAACGGGUGAGUAACGCGUAGGUAACCUGCCUUGUAGCGGGGGAUAACUAUUGGGAACGAUAGCUAAUACCGCAUAACAAUGGAUGACACAUGUCAUUUAUUUGAAAGGGGCAAUUGCUCCACUACAAGAUGGACCUGCGUUG
rnacentral:rRNA from 1 species